rnacentral:tRNA from 1 species
UGCCAGGUGGCUCAGUUGGUUGAGCAUCUGACUCUUGGUUUUGGUUCAGAUCAUGAUAUCGGUGUCGUGGGAUCGAGCCCCACCUUAGCUC